rnacentral:rRNA from 1 species
GUGCCAGCAGCCGCGGUAAUACGUAGGUGGCAAGCGUUGUCCGGAUUUACUGGGCGUAAAGGGAGCGUAGGUGGAUUUUUAAGUGAGAUGUGAAAUACUCGGGCUCAACCUGAGAACUGCAUUUCAAACUGGAAAUCUAGAGUGCAGGAGAGGAAAGUGGAAUUCCUAGUGUAGCGGUGAAAUGCGUAGAUAUUAGGAAGAACACCAGUGGCGAAGGCGACUUUCUGGACUGUAACUGACACUGAGGCUCGAAAGCGUGGGGAGCAAACAGGAUUAGAAACCCCCGUAGUCC